rnacentral:rRNA from 1 species
GUUGCAUUAGACCCGAAACCGAGUGAUCUAGCCAUGAGCAGGUUGAAGGUUGGGUAACACCAACUGGAGGACCGAACCCGCAUCUGUUGCAAUAGAUUGGGAUGACUUGUGGUUAGGGGUGAAAGGCCAAUCAAACUCGGAAAUAGCUGGUUCUCCGCGAAAACUAUUUAGGUAGUGCGUCGAUCGAAUACCUCAGGGGGUAGAGCACUGGAUGGGCUAUGGGGACUCACCGUCUUACUGAUCCUAACCAAACUCCGAAUACCUGAGAGUACUAAUCGGCAGACACACGGCGGGUGCUAACGUCCGUCGUGAAGAGGGCAACAACCCUGACCUCCAGCUAAGGUCCCCAAGUCAUGGCUAAGUGGGAAAGGAUGUGAGGAUCCCAAAACAACCAGGAUGUUGGCUUAGAAGCAGCCAUCAUUUAAAGAAAGCGUAACAGCUCACUGGUCUAAAUAAGGGUCUUUGCGCCGAAAAUGUAACGGGGCUAAAGCCAUGCACCGAAGCUGAGGAUGUGCACGUAAGUGUACGUGGUAGCGGAGCGUUCCGUAAGCCUGUGAAGGGACAGUCGUGAGACAUCCUGGAGGUAUCGGAAGUGCGAAUGUUGACAUGAGUAACGAUAAAGGGGGUGAGAGACCCCCUCGCCGAAAGACCAAGGGUUCCUGCUUAAAGUUAAUCUGAGCAGGGUUAGCCGGCCCCUAAGGCGAGGCAGAAAUGCGUAGUCGAUGGGAACCACGUUAAUAUUCGUGGGCCUGGUGGUAGUGACGGAUCACACAAAUUGUACAGUCUUACUGGAUUGAUUGUGCAGUGGAGUGGUUCCAGGAAAUAGCUCCACCGUAUAGACCGUACCCGAAACCGACACAGGUGGUCAGGUAGAGUAUACCAAGGCGCUUGAGAGAACUAUGUUGAAGGAACUCGGCAAAUUGCACGCGUAACUUCGGAAGAAGCGUGACCCCUUUUUACGCAAGUGGAGAGGGGUGGCACAGACCAGGGGGUAGCGACUGUUUAUCAAAAACACAGGGCUCUGCGAAGUCGCAAGACGACGUAUAGGGUCUGACGCCUGCCCGGUGCUGGAAGGUUAAAAGGAGAGGUGCAAGCUUUGAAUUGAAGCCCCAGUAAACGGCGGCCGUAACUAUAACGGUCCUAAGGUAGCGAAAUUCCUUGUCGGGUAAGUUCCGACCUGCACGAAUGGCGUAACGACUUCCCCGCUGUCUCCAACAUAGACUCAGUGAAAUUGAAUUCCCCGUGAAGAUGCGGGGUUCCUGCGGUCAGACGGAAAGACCCCGUGCACCUUUACUAUAGCUUUACACUGGCAUUCGUGUCGGCAUGUGUAGGAUAGGUGGUAGGCUUUGAAGCUUGGACGCCAGUUCGAGUGGAGCCAUCCUUGAAAUACCACCCUUAUCGUCAUGGAUGUCUAACCGCGGUCCGUUAUCCGGAUCCGGGACAGUGUAUGGUGGGUAGUUUGACUGGGGCGGUCGCCUCCGAAAGAGUAACGGAGGCGCGCGAUGGUGGGCUCAGACCGGUCGGAAAUCGGUCGUCGAGUGCAAUGGCAUAAGCCCGCCUGACUGCGAGACUGACAAGUCGAGCAGAGACGAAAGUCGGUCAUAGUGAUCCGGUGGUCCCGCGUGGAAGGGCCAUCGCUCAACGGAUAAAAGGUACGCCGGGGAUAACAGGCUGAUGACCCCCAAGAGUCCAUAUCGACGGGGUUGUUUGGCACCUCGAUGUCGGCUCAUCGCAUCCUGGGGCUGGAGCAGGUCCCAAGGGUUUGGCUGUUCGCCAAUUAAAGCGGUACGUGAGCUGGGUUCAGAACGUCGUGAGACAGUUCGGUCCCUAUCUGCCGUGGGUGUAGGAAUAUUGACAGGAUCUGUCCCUAGUACGAGAGGACCGGGAUGGACAUAUCUCUGGUGGACCUGUUGUCGUGCCAACGGCAUAGCAGGGUAGCUAUAUAUGGAAUGGAUAACCGCUGAAGGCAUCUAAGCGGGAAACCAACCUGAAAACGAGUAUUCCCUAUCAGAGCCGUGGAAGACGACCACGUUGAUAGGACGGGUGUGGAAGCAGGGUAACCUGCGAAGCUUACCGUUACUAAUAGCUCGAUUGGCUUAAUCGUUCUCAUU